AAUCUAGCUAUAAUGAUGAUAUCAUAGUUCAGCUGAAUUUUUUUUGUUGAUCAAAAGUCUUUAGUCUUUUGCUCCUAUCUGAUCGAGAAU
rfam:Rhizophagus irregularis DAOM 197198w jcf7180003174709, whole genome shotgun sequence.